CCUAUUUCUUAAUCUAGAACAUUCAAGGAUGACUUUUUUCCCAAUGAAAAUAUGAUAAAUGAUUGUGAAGAACUCAUUAAUAACUCAAGCACGCAUGCUGUUUCUGUUCAAAAGUCAGAAGUAAAAAUGCACACUGAUAUUAAUGAGACACAGAAAUCACAUCUGAGUUUGAGGAUAUAAACAUAUAUUCAGAAUUCCCUACAAAUCUCUAUAGAUCCAAACAAAUUGGAGUUUUCAAUAAAAAUUCAAAAUAUGGUGGAAAAUAUUGAAAAACAUAUAAGAUCACACACUGCGUGUAGUUGUCACAGCCCCAGUCUGUCUGUUCCUCCCUCCUUCCUUGCCCUUCGUAUAUAUGUGCUAACCAUGGAAAUGCUGUUUCACAUGCUGCUUCUCCACAGCUGCAAUUACUCCUCUUUGCCAAGAUCCCCGUCUGUCCAUCUUUACUGGUUUGGGUACAAUUAUAGAUUUAUCUAAUAAUAUAGGAAGUAUAAUAAAAUAUAAGAAGCAGACCAGAUGGCCAGAUCGUCAGAUCCUUUUUGAAAUGGACCCUGCCUACCAAAAUAAAGUAAGUUUUUAAAAAGUUCAUCUUAGGGA
rnacentral:lncRNA from 1 species